UGCUAUAUAUUUGACAUGAAACCCUCAACAAUACCCACUCAGAUUGUUUGCAAUACUGAAGACAGAUAAUGCCUUUGAUUAAGUCACAGUCUUCAUAUCCUAAUUGCAUUUCUUUGUGGCCAGAACAAAGAAUUUCAAGGAAGGGAUAUCUGAGUUUCAGCAGAAAGGCUGAAGCUUUCACAUUGGAAAACAUCAUGCUUGGCAAUUUUGCAUGCAAAACCAUAUCUAAUGUCUAUUGCCUAAAACUGGCUACAAAAACCAGAGGGAAGGAAUUAAAGGUAGCCACUUCCAAAAGAUCACUGGCGAGAAGUUUCGAAUUACUUGAUGCCUAUGAAGAUGAAUAUGAUGGGACUGUAAUCGAUCCUGAAUGCUUGCCAGGCAGUGCCAAUGCAUUUGCAGCCAUUCUUCAAUCUUCACUUCUUAUUGGAAGUUAAAGGGGAAGAAAGGGAUUUGGCUGAAAAUACUAGAAGAGCAAGCUGAACUUGUUCCAAUUGCACUCAA